GACAGAGGGUGCAAACGUUGUUCGGAAUUACUGGGCGUAAAGCGCGUGUAGGCGGCUUGGCAAGUCGGGUGUGAAAGCCCUGGGCUCAACCUAGGAAGUGCACUCGAAACUGCCUCGCUUGAAUGCCGGAGAGGAAAGCGGAAUUCUCGGUGUAGAGGUGAAAUUCGUAGAUAUCGAGAGGAACACCGGUGGCGAAGGCGGCUUUCUGGACGGUGAUUGACGCUGAGACACGAAAGCGUGGGGAGCAAACAGG
rnacentral:rRNA from 1 species